rnacentral:rRNA from 1 species
CAGCCGCCGCGGAAUACGUAGGGUCCGAGCGUUGUCCGGAAUUAUUGGGCGUAAAGAGCUCGUAGGCGGUCUGUCGCGUCUGCCGUGAAAUCCUCAGGCUCAACCUGAGGCGUGCGGUGGGUACGGGCAGGCUAGAGUGCGGUAGGGGAGAAUGGAACUCCUGGUGUAGCGGUGGAAUGCGCAGAUAUCAGGAAGAACACCGAUGGCGAAGGCAGUUCUCUGGGCCGUAACUGACGCUGAGGAGCGAAAGCGUGGGGAGCGAACAGGAUUAGAUACCCGUGUAGUCCCUGUCUCUUAUACA